rnacentral:rRNA from 1 species
UACGGGGGGAGCAAGCGUUGUUCGGAUUUACUGGGCGUAAAGGGCGCGUAGGCGGCCACCGCAAGUCGGUUGUGAAAUCUCUGGGCUUAACCCAGAAAGGUCAACCGAUACUGCGGGGCUAGAGUGCAGAAGGGGCAACUGGAAUUCUCGGUGUAGCGGUGAAAUGCGUAGAUAUCGAGAGGAACACCUGUGGCGAAAGCGGCGCACUGGACCAUAACUGACGCUGAGGCGCGAAAGCUAGGGGAGCAAACAGG